GAUGAACGCUAGCGGCAGGCCUAAUACAUGCAAGUCGAACGGUGUCUUCGGACAUAGUGGCGCACGGGUGCGUAACACGUAUGCAACCUACCUUACAUUGGGGGAUAGCCUUUCGAAAGGGAGAUUAAUACCGCAUAAGACAGUAGCUGGGCAUCCAGCAGCUGUUAAAGAUUUAUCGAUGUAAGCUGGGCAUGCGUCCAAUUAGCUAGUUGGUGAGGUAACGGCUCACCAAGGCAAUGAUUGGUAGGGGAACUGAGAGGUCAAUCCCCCACACUGGCACGGGGAUACGGGCCAGACUCCUGCGAGAGGCAGCAGUAGGGAAUAUUGGGCAAUGGACGCAAGUCUGACCCAGCCAUGCCGCGUGCAGGAUGAAGGCGUUAUGCGUUGUAAACUGCUUUUAUACAGGAAGAAACGACUCUUGCGAGAGGCAUUGACGGUACUGUAUGAAUAAGCACCGGCUAACUCCGUGCCAGCAGCCGCCGUAAAAC
rnacentral:rRNA from 1 species